AAACCAUGGUGGGGACAAAGUCUAAGCAUUUCGUUGAAACUCUCCCACACAUCAUAAAGAGAUUCCCCAUCUUUCUGAGUGAAUCGUGUGAUUUGAUCCCUCAAUUU
rnacentral:snoRNA from 2 species